CUUCCUAUCGCCAAGAUGGUAAUUAUUAAUAGGGAAAUAGCACUAUUACUAUGUUCCGAUGUCUUCUGGCCUUAUACUUACUAUGUGACCAUUUAUCAUUUGGGUUGGCCUGUUUUGGUAAAAUAUAAAAUAUUCCUUGGUGAUAAAGUAUCAUAGGGUUUUUGAACAAUUUGAAUUUAAAAUAUGAAAAGUAAUUUAGACUAUUCUUAAAGGAGGAUAGGCAAACAGAGGUCAACCAUAAAGGAACGGUCAUGUGCACAGAAGUACUGCAAGGCUUUUCUAUUUGUAUUGUAUUUAUUGCUUAUGUUCAUCGAGGACACCACUCACAAAAGUGCUUUCAAAGUAAGUGAUGGCACAAAAUGCACAGUCCUCAGCGUGCUUAAAGAUAUGCGUGGUCAUGCUUGCAGGCUUUCCAAGCAUUAGGAAGUUGUUAGGGAUACAAUACCAUAUUAAACCCACUAAUAUUUCCACUGUUAAAGGUGGUCCAAAAGCCAAAAGAAACCCCUUCGGAGAGGAAAACUGGCCAACUACAAAAAGCCAUGUGAGGCCAUUACGCUUGAAGUAUACAGAUUGACCAGGAAUUGUCUGAUUACGGUAACGCUGCUGCAAAGCUCAUGGAGAGGUGACCUAUCUACAAGCAGAAAUCCUGGAACAAAGAUGUGGCCUCACUCAGACAGCCAACCUUCAAGACCUGCUUUCAAUUUAACAGACGUGGAAAAUGGUAUCCUGAAAGACAGGAUCAGGUAUUCAAAGACGUUUCCUUAGACUGUUUGCCAACUGAAUCAUUUCAUAGCUGACUAAUUCAUUAUUUUUUAGUCACAGACAGGGACAGCAUCAUUGAAAGUCGUCAUGCCUACCUGCUAGCUAACCCUAGUUCACAAGUAGUUCAUUGGGAUCGACAAACAAUACUUUGAGUCACCAGACACUGUUUUAAAGAGCUUUUCAAGCCUCAUUUUGUGUGUGGUACUUCCUACAACCAGUGUCUGGUAAAUGUGUACGACUUCUUUCAAACCACAAUUUAUGAAAUCAAUGUUGAUACAUGGUAAGAAUUUAAGCAGAACAGCACACCUAGCAGAAUAAAUUAUAUGUGAUCAUGACUAGUGUUGGAAUUGUAGUUUGUAGACAUUACUGUACACAUGACCACAAGCCCCGAAUUAAGGUUAUGGCCAACUUUACUUUGUCCCUUUUUUGGCAUGACGAUAUUCACAAACAUAAAAUUGAGCUCCAGUGAAGACAGGACCAAAGAUGGUUUGAGUAGUCAAGAACUGCACAAUUUAUGACCUUGUAUAUUUAAUUUAAAAUGCAUUUAACUUACAGAAAAAUAAAGUCACAUUUUAGUAAAGAAUACAUUUGCAGCCCAUUGUGACAACUUCUAGCAACAUGCCA